rnacentral:rRNA from 1 species
GAUGAACGCUAGCUACAGGCUUAACACAUGCAAGUCGAGGGGCAGCAUGGUCUUAGCUUGCUAAGGCUGAUGGCGACCGGCGCACGGGUGAGUAACACGUAUCCAACCUGCCGAUUAUUCCGGGAUAGCCUUUCGAAAGAAAGAUUAAUACUGGAUAGCAUAACGAGAAGGCAUCUUCUUGUUAUUAAAGAAUUUCGAUAAUCGAUGGGGAUGCGUUCCAUUAGUUUGUUGGCGGGGUAACGGCCCACCAAGACAUCGAUGGAUAGGGGUUCUGAGAGGAAGGUCCCCCACAUUGGAACUGAGACACGGUCCAA